rnacentral:rRNA from 1 species
GAUGAACGCUGGCGGCGUGCCUAAUACAUGCAAGUCGAGCGAACAGACGAGGAGCUUGCUCCUCUGACGUUAGCGGCGGACGGGUGAGUAACACGUGGAUAACCUACCUAUAAGACUGGGAUAACUUCGGGAAACCGGAGCUAAUACCGGAUAAUAUAUUGAACCGCAUGGUUCAAUAGUGAAAGACGGUUUUGCUGUCACUUAUAGAUGGAUCCGCGCCGCAUUAGCUAGUUGGUAAGGUAACGGCUUACCAAGGCAACGAUGGGUAGCCGACCUGAGAGGGUGAUCGGCCACACUGGAACUGAGACACGGUCCAGACUCCUACGGGAGGCAGCAGUAGGGAAUCUUCCGCAAUGGGCGAAAGCCUGACGGAGGAACGCCGCGUGAGUGAUGAAGGUCUUCGGAUCGUAAAACUCUGUUAUUAGGGAAGAACAAAUGUGUAAGUAACUAUGCACGUCUUGACGGUACCUAAUCAGAAAGCCACGGCUAACUACGUG